CCUACGGGAGGCAGCAGUGGGGAAUAUUGGACAAUGGGCGAAAGCCUGAUCCAGCCAUGCCGCGUGUGUGAAGAAGGCCUUCGGGUUGUAAAGCACUUUCAGCGGGGAAGAAAGCCUUGGGGCUAAUACCCUCGAGGAAGGACAUCACCCACAGAAGAAGCACCGGCUAACUCCGUGCCAGCAGCCGCGGUAAUACGGAGGGUGCGAGCGUUAAUCGGAAUUACUGGGCGUAAAGCGCGCGUAGGCGGUCUGAUAAGCCGGUUGUGAAAGCCCCGGGCUCAACCUGGGAACGGCAUCCGGAACUGUCAGGCUAGAGUGCAGGAGAGGAAGGUAGAAUUCCCGGUGUAGCGGUGAAAUGCGUAGAGAUCGGGAGGAAUACCAGUGGCGAAGGCGGCCUUCUGGACUGACACUGACGCUGAGGUGCGAAAGCGUGGGUAGCAAACAGGAUUAGAUACCCCAGUAGUC
rnacentral:rRNA from 1 species